rnacentral:rRNA from 2 species
UGGGGAAUAUUGCGCAAUGGAGGAAACUCUGACGCAGCAACGCCGCGUGAAGGAUGAAGGUUUUCGGAUUGUAAACUUCUUUGAUCGGGGACGAAAAUGACGGUACCCGAGGAACAAGCCACGGCUAACUACGUGCCAGCAGCCGCGGUAAUACGUAGGUGGCAAGCGUUGUCCGGAAUUACUGGGUGUAAAGGGCGUGUAGGCGGGGCGGCAAGUCAGAUGUGAAAUACCGUGGCUUAACUGCGGGGGUGCAUCUGAAACUGCUGCUCUUGAGUGUCGGAGAGGAAAGUGGAAUUCCCAGUGUAGCGGUGAAAUGCGUAGAGAUUGGGAGGAACACCAGUGGCGAAGGCGACUUACUGGGCCGUAACUGACGCUGAGGCGCGAAAGCGUGGGGAGCGAACAGG